CCUACGGGGGGCUGCAGUGGGGAAUUUUGCGCAAUGGGCGAAAGCCUGACGCAGCAACGCCGCGUGUGUGAUGAAGGUCUUUGGAUUGUAAAGCACUUUCGACCGGGACGAAACCGUAAAGCCUAAUACGCUUUGCCUUGACGGUACCGGGAGAAGAAGCACCGGCUAACUCUGUGCCAGCAGCCGCGGUAAUACAGAGGGUGCAAGCGUUGUUCGGAAUUAUUGGGCGUAAAGCGCGUGUAGGCGGCUUUGCAAGUCGGGUGUGAAAGCCCUCAGCUCAACUGAGGAAGUGCGCCCGAAACUGCAGAGCUUGAGUGCCGGAGAGGGUGGCGGAAUUCCCCAAGUAGAGGUGAAAUUCGUAGAUAUGGGGAGGAACACCGGUGGCGAAGGCGGCCACCUGGACGGUAACUGACGCUGAGACGCGAAAGCGUGGGUAGCAA
rnacentral:rRNA from 1 species